GGAUUCAUGGGAGGAAGGAGCAGCACGAGCCGGAUCCACGCCCAACCGCCCAGCUCCCGUCCUCACCACCCUGCCGGUCGCAGCUUCCUCCAUCACCGCCCGCCGCCGCCGCGGACGCACGGGACGAUGAGGCAACUGCAGCCUCCCCUCCCCCUCCUCCUCCCCCGCCGGCAGCGGCGGCCCCCACCGCCGGCGGUGGGCACGGCAGCGUGGGGACGGGGUCGACGCCACUCCCCUCCUCCGACAGUGCUCCCUCAUCCCGACCCCGUUCCGCGAGCCCGUUCCGAGAUCGAGGCGAGCCGCGAGCAGCAGCCAUGAGCAAGGUGUUCGAGGGCUGCAAGAGGCAAUACUGCGUGGCCGCGGCCUCCCUCUCCCGCAAGUGCACCGCUGCCUCUGCCCUCGAUGGAGAGAAGGAAGCAAAAGCUGUUCGAGAUCCAGUCCGGCGUGGAGGAAGCUGAAUCGCUGGUAAAUAGAUGCAUCAACGCAUUUUGUUCCAUAUGCACAUGUAGAUUCGUUUGCAAUUGAGAUCUAGUACACAUGCUGGAUGGAGGAUUUGAGCUAGCAGGUCAGUCAAACAAUCACGAAUUCAGCUUUUCACAGCAAUUUUGAUGAGUAAUAAUCUAGUAGAAAGCUGGAUUAAUUCUUUUCCCGUGAAAGCACAUUGAGCCAGAUCUCAUUUGGUGUUGGAGCUCAAUGUAUCAGCACAUCUAUUUGGAUGCAUUGAUACUUGAAUCGAGACUGCACCCAGUUUUGGGUAAAUCUCGUGUGCCUAAUGCUUUUGACACUACCAACUGUGAGCAUUGAAUUGUGAUCUCGAUGUAACCAAGCC